rnacentral:rRNA from 1 species
AACGGCCGUACCAUGAUGAAUAUACCGGUUCUCGUUAGAACACCGAAGUCUAGCAUCAUUGGGCGCGGUCAGUACUUGGGAGGGUGACCACCUGGGAACACCGCGUGCCGUU